rnacentral:tRNA from 1 species
GGGGCGUUGGUAUAGUGGUAUUACGUAGGUUUAUAGUCCGAGACGCGGGUUCGAAUCCUGCACGCCCCC